rnacentral:rRNA from 1 species
UACGUAGGGUGCAAGCGUUGUCCGGAAUUAUUGGGCGUAAAGAGCGUGUAGGCGGCCAGGUAGGUCUGCUGUGAAAACUCGAGGCUCAACCUCGAGACGUCGGCGGAAACCAUCUGGCUAGAGUCCGGAAGAGGAGAGUGGAAUUCCUGGUGUAGCGGUGAAAUGCGCAGAUAUCGGGAGGAACACCGGUGGCGAAGGCGGCGACCUGGGUAGAGACUGACGCUGAGGCGCGAAAGCGUGGGGAGCAAACAGG